rnacentral:rRNA from 1 species
GAUGAACGCUAGCGAUAGGCCUAACACAUGCAAGUCGAGGGGCAGCACAUGAGGUAGCAAUACCGAUGGUGGCGACCGGCGCACGGGUGAGUAACACGUAUGCAACCUGCCUUCAACAAGGGCAUAACCCGUUGAAAGACGGACUAAUACCCUAUAAUACAGGGGCCCCGCAUGGGGAUAUUUGUUAAAGAUUUAUCGGUUGAAGAUGGGCAUGCGUUCCAUUAGCUGGUUGGUGGGGUAACGGCCCACCAAGGCAACGAUGGAUAGGGGAACUGAGAGGUUUAUCCCCCACACUGGUACUGAGACACGGACCAGACUCCUACGGGAGGCAGCAGUGAGGAAUAUUGGUCAAUGGACGCAAGUCUGAACCAGCCACGUCGCGUGAAGGAAGACGGCCCUACGGGUUGUAAACUUCUUUUAUACGGGAAUAAAGUGCCCCACGUGUGGGGUUUUGCAAGUACCGUAUGAAUAAGGAUCGGCUAACUCCGUGCCAGCAGCCGCGGU